AGAGUUGAUCAUGGCUCAGGAUGAACGCUAGCGACAGGCUUAACACAUGCAAGUCGAGGGGCAGCAUAAAAGUAGCAAUACUUGGUGGCGACCGGCGCACGGGUGAGUAACGCGUAUGCAGCCUACCUAUCAGAGGGGAAUAACCCGGCGAAAGUCGGACUAAUACCGCAUAAAACAGGGGCACCGCAUGGUGAUAUUUGUUAAAGAAAUUCGCUGAUAGAUGGGCAUGCGUUCCAUUAGGUAGUUGGUGAGGUAACGGCUCACCAAGCCGACGAUGGAUAGGGGAACUGAGAGGUUGGUCCCCCACACUGGUACUGAGACACGGACCAGACUCCUACGGGAGGCAGCAGUGAGGAAUAUUGGUCAAUGGGCGAGAGCCUGAACCAGCCAAGUCGCGUGAAGGAAGAAGGAUCUAUGGUUCGUAAACUUCUUUUGCAGGGGAAUAAAGUGCAGGACGUGUCCUGUUUUGUAUGUACCCUGAGAAUAAGGAUCGGCUAACUCCGUGCCAGCCGCCGC
rnacentral:rRNA from 1 species